CUAUCUGCCGUGGGCGCUGGAGAAUUGAGGGGGGCUGCUCCUAGUACGAGAGGACCGGAGUGGACGCAUCACUGGUGUUCGGGUUGUCAUGCCAAUGGCACUGCCCGGUAGCUAAAUGCGGAAGAGAUAAGUGCUGAAAGCAUCUAAGCACGAAACUUGCCCCGAGAUGAGUUCUCCCUGAGACUUUAAGUCUCCUGAAGGAACGUUGAAGACGACGACGUUGAUAGGCCGGGUGUGUAAGCGCAGCGAUGCGUUGAGCUAACCGGUACUAAUGAACCGUGAGGCUUAACCUUACAACGCCGAAGCUGUU
rnacentral:rRNA from 1 species